CAGUAGCCGCGGUAAGACAGAGGAUGCAAGCAUUAUCCGGAAUGAUUGGGCGUAAAGCGUGCGCAGGCGGUUCGCUAAGACAGAUGUGAAAUCCCCGGGCUUAACCUGGGGACUGCAUUUGUGACUGGCGGGCUAGAGUAUGGCAGAGGGGGGUAGAAUUCCACGUGUAGCAGUGAAAUGCGUAGAGAUGUGGAGGAAUACCGGUGGCGAAGGCAGCCCCCUGGGCCAAUACUGACGCUCAUGCACGAAAGCGUGGGGAGCAAACAGGAUUAGAUACCCCAGUAGUCCCGUCUCUUAUACA
rnacentral:rRNA from 1 species